rfam:Cavia porcellus supercont2_130 genomic scaffold, whole genome shotgun sequence.
GGGGAUUUAGCUCAGCGGCAUAAGCGCCUGCCUUGCAAGCAGGCUGUCCUGAGUUCGAUCUCCGGUACCCA